UGAAGCACCUUCCGCUUUUCCCCACUGUAUAAAAUGGCAGCUCGCUUUAGAUCGUCAUCGAAGCCUGAGACGGGUGUGAGCAGUGCGAACAAGUCCUUUGUCUUCUUUCAUAACUGGAUUGCUGCAUAUUGCCAGGUUCCUCCUAACCACCAUGAAAGCCUACGUGCUCUUGGCCCUGGUCAUCUGCGGAUAUCUCUGCCAAAUUCAAGCUGCUACAUUGAGCAAGCCGGAAAAAACAACGCACGCAUUAGAGAAGCUUGUGGAAGAAGAGAUCACCAAGGCAUCCGCGAAUGGGCAAGGACACCUCGCCGAAGCUCUCAAGGCCCUGAAGAGCUCGGUUAACGGCGAAGAAACUGAAGAGGCCUACUUCUUUGGUCUACUGGCCCUUAUCCGUUUAAUUAUUAGUGCAAUUCGCGCCAGCGGUUAAAUUGCUCGUGCAGUGGCAGAGAAACAAACGUAGGUACGUUUCUCGAUGCGGUAGCUGCGUCCGUUAUAUCCUUGGUCCGUUACUGCAACUGCCGCUGGCUCCGCGGCCGGCUCUGCGGCUGGUUCUGCA